rnacentral:rRNA from 1 species
UUGACCUCGGAUCAGGUAGGACUACCCGCUGAACUUAAGCAUAUCAAUAAGCGGAGGAAAAGAAACCAACAGGGAUUGCCCCAGUAACGGCGAGUGAAGCGGCAACAGCUCAGAUUUGGAAUCUGGCCCCCAGGGCCCGAGUUGUAAUCUGGAGAGGAUGCUUCUGGCGCGGCGCCUUCCGAGUUCCUGGAACGGGACGCCGGAGAGGGUGAGAGCCCCGUACGGUUCGGACGCCCAGCCUUUGUGAAGCUCCUUCGACGAGUCGAGUAGUUUGGGAAUGCUGCUCAAAAUGGGAGGUAAAUUUCUUCUAAAGCUAAAUAUUGGCCAGAGACCGAUAGCGCACAAGUAGAGUGAUCGAAAGAUGAAAAGCACUUUGAAAAGAGGGUUAAACAGUACGUGAAAUUGUUGAAAGGGAAG